UAGUCAUAUGCUUGUUUUAAAGGUUAAGCCAUGCAUGUGUCAGAAUAUGUCUGUAUGGACGAAUCUGCAGACGGCUCAUUACAACAGUAAUUACAUCAUUGACGCUUAAAGUAGACGGGUAACCGUGGGAAACCAAGGCUAAUACGAGAUGAAAGUCCGACAAUAUUUGUCGGGCUGUCUAUGCUGCCACAAAAAUCGAACGCGCCUUGCGUGUGUGACGAAUCGCAGUAUCAUUUCGAGUCGACAAAUCGAUGCGUCAACUUGGAUUCUGACCUAUCAGCUUUCGACGGUAGGGUAUUGGCCUACCGUGGCGACGACGGGUAACGGGGAAUUAGGGUUUGAUUCCGGAGAGGGAGCCUGAGAAACGGCUACCACGUCUAAGGAUGGCAGCAGGCGCGCAAAUUACCCAAUCUUGACACAAGGAGGUAGUGACAAAAAAUAGCAACACGAAGCAAUUGCUUUGAUGAUUGCAAUGGGAUUUUACUAAAAUAUGAGUCGAGAAUCAAUU
rnacentral:rRNA from 1 species